GAUGAACGCUGGCGGCGUGCCUAAUACAUGCAAGUCGAGCGAACAGACGAGGAGCUUGCUCCUCUGACGUUAGCGGCGGACGGGUGAGUAACACGUGGAUAACCUACCUAUAAGACUGGGAUAACUUCGGGAAACCGGAGCUAAUACCGGAUAAUAUAUUGAACCGCAUGCUUCAUUAGUGAAAGACGGUUUUGCUGUCACUUAUAGAUGGAUCCGCGCCGCAUUAGCUAGUUGGUAAGGUAACGGCUUACCAAGGCAACGAUGCGUAGCCGACCUGAGAGGGUGAUCGGCCACACUGGAACUGAGACACGGUCCAGACUCCUACGGGAGGCAGCAGUAGGGAAUCUUCCGCAAUGGGCGAAAGCUUGACGGAGCAACGCCGCGUGAGUGAUGAAGGUCUUCGGAUCGUAAAACUCUGUUAUUAGGGAAGAACAAAUGUGUAAGUAACUAUGCACGUCUUGACGGUACCUAAUCAGAAAGCCACGGCUAACUACGUG
rnacentral:rRNA from 1 species